rnacentral:lncRNA from 1 species
GAUUGUGCCUUCUGAAGACCAGGGUGCGAUUGAUGGAGGAGCCCCAGGAGGGCAGCUCUGACUACUGCCGUUCCCAACAUCGUGGGUGCUGCUGCUGAGGAGGCCCGUGCACCUCUGGCCCUCACCAUUGCCCUUGCUUCCCAAUGGCCUCUGCUGCCAGGCCGGAGGCCAGCACUGCUGCCUGAGCCCGCUGCCCCUCUCCAGGACUCGCCGUUCCCUGAUGGGGUAACGUGACAGACCGGACCAGAGGCUGCCUGCCUACCACGGCAGAGUUGGUUGAGUUCAAGUUCAUUUUUCCUUUGGUCCUGAGUGCUGGGGCCCAACUCUGACCAAAGGGGACACUCACUCCUCUAUCCACCGAUGCAGAGAGGGUGUCUCCAGCGACAGCCCCAUC